AAUGAAUGAUUUUUUUUUUUUUUUUGACUACCAGGGAUCAAAUGCAGGACCUUGCACUUGUGAGGCAGGUACAGGGCCACUGAGCUAAAUCCCCAUCCCUACAGAUUCUUGACUCUGGGCAUCUCACAAGAUGAUUAUUUAGCUUCUACAAUAGAAAAAUUUGGAUUUUUUCUACAGCAUCAUUCAUAUCAAUUGGAAAUGAAGUCCACUAGAGUGAAAUCCUCUGUGCGGAAUCCACAUGGAAACCACACAGAGAAAGUUUCCAGAUCACGGCCGAGUCAGCAGUAUCCUCACAUAGCUGUGAGCACUCUGUUCUGGUCCUCUGCCUCCAAUUUUUGCAUCUCAUCACGGUUCUCAGGUACUAAAUCUGUCUCCUGCGAUUUUAAAAAUGGAAACCACGUAUAUAAUUGAUAGCAUGACAAGAAAUACAGACCUCACAGACAAUUCUGUCAGAGGAAGAGGAACUUCUGCAUUUUAGUCAACAAGCUGUUUAUUAUAGAUGCCGCUGCUUCUUGUUGAAGUUCUGAGAACUGUUUAGAAUGCUGGAAUUUACAGCUAAAAUUAAAUCUGCUUAAAUUAUAAGACACCAAAUAAGACGACAGAGUGAUCAAAGUUCUCUGAACUAUUUAGUAAUGCUAAAAGUUACAUUUAGAAGACGUGUGGGCAUAAUUAAACACAGUAUUAUGAAAACUAGAGAAAAGGGCUAAAGGUGUAGGGAAAGUGGGAAGGGCAGGGGAAAGGUAAUAGGGAAAAACAUAUGAGAAAAUGAAAAAAUGGAAAUAAAGUGUUUGUAAAUGGGGAGGGGAAGAGGAGGUGAAGGGAAGGCAGGGACAAGAGAAAAAAAUGAGAACCAAGACCUGUCAUGUAAAGGUACGAGAUCCCAAUGAUGAAUGUAACUGUAUUGUAUACCUAAAAGGUACCAAUAAACUCAAUAAAAGAAAAAAAAAGAAAAGAAACCUAGCAAGCUUUAAACAUGUGAAACUUUUUAGCUCAAUGAGAGAUAAUAAAAUGGACAUAUGACCAACUCACAGGCUUAUAAAUUUUGUAGGUAUCUCAACUAACAAC
rnacentral:lncRNA from 1 species